rnacentral:rRNA from 1 species
ACGCACGCUGGCGGCGUGCCUCAUACAUGCAAGUAGAACGCUGAAGGAGGAGCUUGCUCUUCUUGGAUGAGUUGCGAACGGGUGAGUAACGCGUAGGUAACCUGCCUGGUAGCGGGGGAUAACUAUUGGAAACGAUAGCUAAUACCGCAUAAUAGUAGAUGUUGCAUGACAUUUGCUUAAAAGGUGCAAUUGCAUCACUACCAGAUGGACCUGCGUUGUAUUAGCUAGUUGGUGAGGUAACGGCUCACCAAGGCAACGAUACAUAGCCGACCUGAGAGGGUGAUCGGCCACACUGGGACUGAGACACGGCCCAGACUCCUACGGGAGGCAGCAGUAGGGAAUCUUCGGCAAUGGACGGAAGUCUGACCGAGCAACGCCGCGUGAGUGAAGAAGGUUUUCGGAUCGUAAAGAUCUGUUGUAAGAGAAGAACGAGUGUGAGAGUGGAAAGUUCACACUGUGACGGUAUCUUACCAGAAAGGGACGGCUAACUACGUG